UACCUGCAGCUCAAGUGGUGGCCGCUAUUAUUGGGCCUAAAACGUUCGUAGCCGGUUUGGUAAAUGCCUGGGUAAAUUGUGUAGCUUAACUAUACGAAUUCCGGGUAGACUGCCAAACUUGAGACCGGGAGAAGCUAGAGGUACUCCUGGGGUAGAGGUGAAAUUCUGUAAUCCUAGGGGGACCACCAGUGGCGAAGGCGUCUAGCUAGAACGGGUUUGACGGUGAGGACGAAGCCCUGGGGCGCAAACCGGAUUAGAUACCCGGGUAGUCCAGGGUGUAAACGCUGCUUGCUUGAUGUUAGUUGGGCUCCGAGCCCAAUUAGUGUCGGAGAGAAGUUGUUAAGCAAGCUGCCUGGGAAGUACGAUCGCAAGAUUGAAACUUAAAGGAAUUGGCGGGGAGCACAGCAACGGGUGGAGCUUGCGGUUU
rnacentral:rRNA from 1 species